UUUAAUUCGAAGCAACGCGAAGAACCUUACCAGGUCUUGACAUCCCUCUGACCGCUCUAGAGAUAGAGUUUUCCUUCGGGACAGAGGUGACAGGUGGUGCAUGGUUGUCGUCAGCUCGUGUCGUGAGAUGUUGGGUUAAGUCCCGCAACGAGCGCAACCCCUAUUGUUAGUUGCCAUCAUUCAGUUGGGCACUCUAGCGAGACUGCCGGUAAUAAACCGGAGGAAGGUGGGGAUGACGUCAAAUCAUCAUGCCCCUUAUGACCUGGGCUACACACGUGCUACAAUGGCUGGUACAACGAGUCGCAAGCCGGUGACGGCAAGCUAAUCUCUUAAAGCCAGUCUCAGUUCGGAUUGUAGGCUGCAACUCGCCUACAUGAAGUCGGAAUCGCUGGUAAUCGCGGAUCAGCACGCCG
rnacentral:rRNA from 1 species